GUGCCAGCCGCCGCGGUAAUACGAAGGGGGCGAGCGUUGUUCGGAUUUACUGGGCGUAAAGGGCGCGCAGGCGGCCGCAUUUGUCAGGCGUGAAAGCCCCGGGCUUAACCUGGGAACUGCGUUUGAUACGGUGUGGCUAGAGUUCGGGAGAGGAGAGUGGAAUUCCCAGUGUAGAGGUGAAAUUCGUAGAUAUUGGGAAGAACACCGGUGGCGAAGGCGGCUCUCUGGACCGAGACUGACGCUGAGGCGCGAAAGCGUGGGGAGCAAACAGGAUUAGAAACCCUAGUAGUCC
rnacentral:rRNA from 1 species